rnacentral:snRNA from 1 species
GCGCUCACUUCAGCUGUACAUGUCCUAAAAUGGAAUGAUACAGAGCAGUUUAGUAUAGCCACUGUGCAAGAGUGACGUGCAAAUUUACGAAGUGUUUCAUAUUAAG